GUUGAAAUAAUUAUUAGUACAAGUAGGGACAUCCAAAAUAGUACAUGAGUAAAUGUUAAAGCAGGUCACAAAACAUUGGCCACUUCCCUUAAGUGACCCAAUAAUAAGCCAAAGAUAUAUAUAAAAACCAACCUCACAUCUAAACCAAGAAACACCAUAUAACUACUUUCGGGGAUGUAUAGAGCCUUGAGCCCUAGACUUUCAAAGGCUGAUAUCUCCUGCUCUGUACAUCCAAUUACCAGCUUUUUGCAGGAGUUCUAGAGGGGACCCAGUGCUAUUUAGCUAUGCAAGUGUUAACCCUAUAACCCCUUCCUGUCCCAGGGCACCGAGCCCCAAAGUGUAACCCUUUGAAUGUAAAAUGUAUGCAUGCAUAUCCCUGUGUCUAGUUAGUAUCUCCAAGAGCGGGAGAUGGUUAUCUACCCCAGCCCCCUCCUGAAUGUGUAUGUGUUGUGUUGAAUGGAGACCCCCUGCGGGGGUCUGUGCAUGAAAAGCUGUGUGCCUAAAUGAAGAUUGUAUCCUGGAACUGUGUCCCGUCCGGUUACUGAGGAAAUGGGUCUGACCUAUCAUUACAAGAAGGGAUAACCAGCCAGGUAACCCA